rnacentral:lncRNA from 1 species
ACGAUGUUGGAGAGAAUAGUUUUGAAUAUGCCGAUGAAGGAGGGAACCUUCUGAGACAUGGCCCACAGGUCAGUAUCGUAAGCUCCUUUCUCUAUGAACAUCGAGUAGUGUUUCAUGAAUACAGCUGAGAGUUGGUUAGAGUUAUUUAUUGUUGGCCUCCAACCAAGAAAACCAAUUAAGUGUAGUUCCUACCAGAUUUUCACGAAAGGUUGGUAGUAAUCGGCAUCCCGUUCUCCGUUUCAUACCACUUUCAUAAUACCACUUUUAAUCUUUACCACUAAAGGAACAUUUUCAAAAAUACUAAUGAAAGACUCUUACACAUUUGUUCUAUAUAUAUAUAAUAAAUUAUUAUUUAACUAAAUAAAAAAUAAUUGUUUUUUUAUGUUUUCGAAUUAUACUUUUUUAAAUUCGAACUUUCGAAAAAAAUUUCUUUUUUCUUUUUUUUUGAAAAUCGAAAAUUAUGUUUGAAACUAUUUUUAAUUUUUUUUAUAUUUUUUAUAUUUAUUUAUAUAUUUAUUAGAAUCCUAAAUUUCAUAUUCCAAAAACCCUACUCCACCCCUCAACUCUAAACCCUAAGUCUAGAUUAGUUAACUCUAGUGCAUAAGUGUCUUCUACCCUCCAUUAAAAGUGAAAAUAAAAGUGAUUAGUGUAGACAUGAAAAAUAAUACUAUGAAAUGGUAUUUGUGGCAAUUUCCCUUUUUAGGUGCACUUAAAGCUUGGUUUUAGUUGUUAAUGGUGAUUUGAGUAUUUAUGAUGACAAUGACAGUAAAAAUUGAAUAUAUAAGUGAUGAAAAUAAAAAUGUACGAGUAAAACAAGUAUUUAAAAAAAAUAUAGAAAAAAUCAAAGUAAUUACAUUUUCUUUAAUAAAAGGCAAAUGAAUUUUUUAAGUUAUUUUUUUACCACAAUUUUAGGUCAUAUUUGAAAGAAUUCAUUUAUAUCUUAAAAUAAGUUUAUUUUAAGAAAUUUAACAUCCUAGCUUAAUAUUUUUAUAUUUUACAAUAUUUAUAAAUAUGUAUCAAUAACAAUUAUCAAACAAAAUAGAAGUAAGUAUCAUAAAAUUAUAUAUUUUUAACUUUUUCGAUCCAUUUCACACAAAAAAAUAUUUAGUUAUAAAAAUAAUAGUUUAUUAAAAAAUAAUUUCACUAUAGUUAAGAAAACAAAAUUGUUCCCAAAAUUAUUUGAACCAAGUUUAUAUGAAUAGAACAUAAAAUAAUAAAUUUUGGUAAAAAUAUUUUUCAAAUAUAUUUAUUUGCUACAGUAUAAUUUAUCUGGAAUAAAUAUUUAAGGCAUCUUACCAACCAAGUAGAAUUCGUCACUUCUAUCAAUCUAUAUUUGUUUCAUUCAGAAAAGACUGGAAGCUCUCUUUUUUCCAAAACGUGGAACACAUGACCUUUUUUUUAUUGGUUAAAAAUAUACGUGGUCCAUAUUUUCUUGGUUUUCAACUCAGACAAAUCUACUAUUUUUAUCCUUUCGACACCGUUGUAACUAGGCCUGAGACUUUUAUCCGAGAUCCGGGAUUUGAUCUGGAUCCGAUCCAAAAACCUGGAUAUCCAAAAUGGUUGAAUUUGGAUCCGGAUAGUAAAAUGUUGGAUCCGUCAAAGCCAAAUUCAGAUUCAGAUAUCUUGAUUUUUUAGUCCGGAUAUUCAGAUCCAUAAGUUUUAUCAAUAACUAUUUUAAAAAUAGUAAUAUAUAGAUAUAUAAAAACGAACUUUAUUUAAUAUAUUUUCAUUUUUAUAAUAGUAUAUGUAAAUUAUAUGAAAAUUUUAUGUAAUUUUUUUAAUAUUAUACAUAGAAAUAAUUAAAAACAUUAUUUUUUUAUUUUUUUAAAUUAUUUUAAAUAUUUUAUAUAUAUUAAUAUUAUUUUUUUAUUUUUGUGAAGGAUCCAAAUCCGAAUCCGGAUAUCCGCCGGAUAUUACAAUUUUGAGAAGGAUAUCGGAUAUCCGGAUAUCCGAAAACCCCGGAGUCAGAUAAAAAUAGUAAAAUUAUGGAUCCGCCGGAUAAGGAUCCGGAUCCGGAUACCUUAAAGUUGCCCGGAUACCAAAUCCGUUCCAGGCCUAGUUGUAAAUGUUCCAUAUGUUGAAAAUAAUUUAUUUAAUAAUGUUGUUGUCUUAUUAACUUGGAGAUGUCCAAAUCCAUGGAUUUGCAAAUGGACCCGAAAAAUAAAACCAUAUUCACGUAAUUAUCUAGGAGUAAUGUGAUUUAGUUUCGCGCAUCAGCUGAACUGAACUUGAAACGUGUUAGUGUUGUUCCAGCCUCAUCCUCUUACCCCCUCACCACGUUAUCCCAAACUUUAAUAAUGUUUUCCUCCUCAUGUCUUAUCUUUGAGAGAGUUUUAUAUUAUAUAUAAUAAUAAGAGAAAACUUUUAAAAUACUUAAUUUUCAAAAAAUACACUCAAUAGAAAAUAUUUUAAUAUUUAGUUUUAGAGUUUAUUGAUUAUUUUUUUAUGAUUUAGUAUUUAUGGGAUGUGAUUGAAUUUAUAAAUUCUAUACAUACUAGAGUCUUUGGCCGUGCUACGCGCGGAAAAUAGUUUUUAAAUAUAUUAUAUUUAGGAUGGAAAUAUUUGCAAAUAUGAAAAUUUAGUGUAAUUAAGAUUUGAUUGGAUUUUGGAAAAAACAAUUUAUCGGCAGAGAGAUAAAAUUAAAGAAAGAAUUGAUGAAAAUAGAUUUGACUGCACUUAUUAUAUCCGAGGGGAUAAUAUAAUAGCUUGUUAGGAAAAGAAUAAACAAACAAAAAGAGGUUGGAGAGUGUUUUUUUGUUUUUGGCUAUAGCUUUGAUUUGUCUUAAUGUUUUAUGUCUCGUUGAACAGGUGAAGUUACUCUUAACUUCAUUCUUUGGUUGACUUGGUAUUCGUCCUUUGAAGUGCUUGCCUCCGGUGGUCGUUUUCUCCUUUGCCGUCGAAGGGCUCUCCUCCUCCAUGUUUCUCCAUUUUCCUUUGCUUCAUUUUUUCUCCUUAGCCGCUCUCCGAUAUGUGGUUGUCCCUGGAGCUCGAACGUCCGCCGGCGGAGGAGCCUAGGCCGAUUCCGGCGGUCGUUUCGUUCCUCUGGUGACACUGGGAGGCUGGUGUGCAAUGGCGGGAGGUUGGAGUCGGUUCUUUGGGUAGGGUUUAGUCCGAAGCCAUUUUUCCUUUCUUAGAUCUAUGGCGAAACUCUGUGAUUGACGGCGCGUGGUUACGGUGGAGGGCUCCUCCGUCCCGGAUCUAUUCUUUCUUCUGGCGGUUCUUAUCUAUUGUUGUCCUGGUUGAGUGGCUUGACGGCGCGUCUUUCUCCUUUGUGUGAGGCGUCUCGGCGAGGUCUCACCUCUAUGGUGCAUCUGAGGUCUUCCGGGUUCGUCGUGUGUCGUCUCUGGCAGCUUCUCGUUUGAUGUGUGCGGCCACGACUAGGCUGUCGAUUCAGAGUCGUCUAUGGCUUCGAUUCAAUUUGUGCUCGUGGUGCUUCCGUCUUGUUCUCCUCUAGCCUCGGCGCUCCCUCCGGUUCUAUGGGUCCUGCUCGGCUGUUCUUCAGAUGUUAGUUUAUGUUCCGUUUGCAAGUCGGUCAGCGUCUUGGUUCUUACUUCUAUUCAAAGAUAUUGGGCAUUGUAUCAGAGGUCUCCAGUUCGCGUAACUGCUGAGACAAAACUAAUAUUACAUGCUAUAGUUUCGAGUAUGGGGGUUUGCCUCUAAACCUCCUAGUAUUCAAAAAUUAUAUGACACAAGUUUAUUGUUUAUUGCUUCUUACUUCUAUUCGAAUGAAAAUUUUAAAAUACAAAUUUUUGGAGUAAUUUUAUCUUAUAUAAAAUUAUGAGAGGAUCGCUUGUGAUUCUUUUAAAUAAUCUAUCACUGUGAGGUUUCGAGAAAUACCAAGU